rnacentral:misc_RNA from 1 species
ACUCAGUAUUAUAAUAGCUUGUAUUACAGUAACUUAAAAAUCAGACGGUUUUUUUUUUAUUUUGACAACAUUGCUACUAUUUUAGCUGAACAAAAUUCAAAUUUAGUGUAAUCAUCAUUAUUGUCUAGAACGAUUUAUCUUAAAUGUUUCUAAUUGUGAGUAAAAAUUGUCGGUUUUCACCAUGAUGUACAAUCAACUCACUAACCUCGUUUAAAACAGAAUUUUAUAUUGUUCAUAUUUCAAAUAAACGAAAUGCACU